GACGGUCCCGGAGGCGUCAAAACAUUCGUCUGCAGUUUUCUCCGCGCCUGGAGUCCCGCGGAGGCCGAGGCAAGGGAGGCGUCAUUUACUGGCCUUGUUGCUGCUGUGUUUCCUCUUACUGGAGUCUUGGGGGGAAGGCGUGAGGCGAGGAGAGCCGCGACACACUGCCAGACAACGCAGCACCGGCAGGAGAGGCGGGCACAGGUCUGGCCAGCACCAUCAAGACUAACACCAGCGGCAGCAUCGGAGAGGUGAGGGCCGUGGCGAUGCUGGACCCUAUGGUGGUGGUGGCGUGCUGUGCCGGCCUGGGUCUGACGCUGUCCUUCCUCACUCUGGGCAGCUCGCGCCUCCCCCACCACACACACCACAGACAGGCACCAGCAGGAGGAAAGGAGGAGGAAGACGAGGAGGAGGAGGAAGAGGAAGAGGGACGACCUGGUGGCGGCGGUGAUGGCAGAGGCGAUGACGACCCAAAUGACGGACGAUUAUUCAGACUCAGAGGAGGAGGAGGAAGAGGAGGCGGAGGCGAAGGAGGAGGAGGAGGAUUACGGGGAAGGAGUAGCCGCAGCGGAAGGGGGAGUGCGUUCGGCAGGAGGCGCGUCAUGAUCGUAACAGCGCACCCCGACGAUGAGGUCAUGUUCUUCGGACCGACGAUACUGCAUUUUACACGUCAAGAGGAGGCACUCGUCUAUAUCCUGUGUAUGUCGACUGGCAACUACUAUGGUCAGGGGAGGGUGCGCGGACAAGAGCUUCUGGCCAGCUGUCAUCUACUGGGCGUGGAGAGCGACAAUGUUACCAUCUACCGCUGUGACGACCUUCCCGAUGAUCCUGAUGUCGUCUGGCCAACCGUGCGCACCGCCAACCUCAUCAACCACCACCUCCAUGCGCUUGAUGUGGAUAUGGUGGUGACCUUUGACAUGGGUGGUGUGAGUGGGCAUAUCAACCACUCAGCACUCUUCUUUGCCCUUCAGCACCUUGUCGAGAGGGAGGUGCUGCCCCCUAGGUGUGAGCCGUACGCGCUGGACACGGUGGGCAUAGUGAGGAAAUACUCAUCCCUGCUUGAUGUGCCCAUCAGCUACUCUCUCUCAUCCUGUGCCUUCACCGUCGACAGGAAGAACCACGCUAUACUCCAGAGAGCCAUGCGCGCCCACUCCUCACAAUACGCUUGGUUCCGCCGCCUCUACAUGUUCUUCUCGCGUUACGUCCUCAUCAACACACUCUCCCGGGUCACCCCAUAGCCUCCAGUGACCCGCGUGAGUCGCUGCCAGGUCGCCGCGAGUCCCUAAGUUCGCCGGUGAAUCCAUGUUGCGUCAUACAUAGAUUUUUAUUAAUAUUACGUACCCAAGUUUGUAUGUAGUGGGCGGGAUAUUCUCGGGGUGUAGUGGAGUGAUUUGAGGCUGUGCUGGGUAGUGUGUGUGUGUGUGUAGAGGAGUGGUGUGUGUGUGUGUGUGUGUGUUUUGCAUAAUAUAAGGAUGGAAGGAAAGGAGGGAGAGAGAGAGAGAGAGGAAGGGAAAGGAAGGAGGAGAGGAAGAGAGAGAGAGAGAAGGGAAGAUAAACAUGAGAGAGAGAGAGAGAGAAGGGAAGAUAAACAUGAGAGAGAGAGAGAGAGAGGAAAGGAAGGAAGAGAAGGAGAAAGGAAGAAAAUAAUGAGAGAGAGAGAGAGAGAGAGAGAGAGAGAGAGAGAGAGAGAGAGAGAGAGAUGAAAGGAAGGGAAGGAAAAAUUGAAGGAAACUAUGGAAGCAAGGAGAAGGAAAGGAAGGAAGGAAGGAAAGAAAGAUUAAGAAAAUAACAGGGAAAUCCAAGCCAGAACCAUUUAUCCAACAUACAUAAUUUCGUAACGUGAGAGCCUUGCGUGUGGUGUUUCGUCAGCCAGUCAGGUGAAGUGAUUUAAGUGACGCAUUCGUAAGAUCUGAAAGCCUUGCGUGUGAGUGUGUGUGUCUCAUAACUGUUGGUAUUUCGUCAGCAAGUUAGUUGGGGUGAUUUAAGCGACGCAUUCGUAAGAUCUCAAAGCCUUGCGUGUGAAUGUGGGUGUCUCAUAACUGUUGGUAUUUCGUCAGCAAGUUAGUUGGGGUGAAUUAAGUGAUGCAUUCGUAAGAUCUGAAAGCCUUGCGUGUGAGUGUGUGUGUCUCAUAACUGUUGGUAUUUCGUCAGCAAGUUAGUUGGGGUGAUUUAAGUGACGCAUUCGUAAGAUCUGAAAGCCUUGCGUGUGACUGUGGGUGUCUCAUAACUGUUGGUAUUUCGUCAGCAAGUUAGUUGAGGUGAUUUAAGUGACGCAUUCGUAAAAUCUGAAAGGCUUGCGUGUGAGUGUGUGUGUCUCAUAACUGUUGGUAUUUCGUCAGCAAGUUAGUUGGGGUGAUUUAAGCGAUGCAUUCAUAAUAUCGUAACACGCGAGAGCCUUUCGUAUGAGUUCGUGUGUGUCAUAAGUCAGAUCCAUUAUUCCUUCACUCUCGAAAUAGCAAUGCAUUCGUAAUAUUGUAAAAAGCAAGAGCCUUUCGUAUAAGUCCGUGUGUGUCUCGUAAAUUGGGAAGAGGUCAUUUACCCCUUUGACGUCAUAACAUAAAUGCAUUCGUAAUUCCAUAAUCUGCGUGAGCCUUUCGUAUGAGUCCGUGUGUGUCUUGUAAGUUUGGAGCGUGUCCGUCAUUCCCUUCCGUCAAAACAGCAAUGCAUUCGUAAUUUCGUAAUGCGCAAUGGCCUUCCUAAAAAGUUCGUGUGAGUCUGUGUGUGUCUCGUGAAUUAGGGACAAAUCCGUCAUUCCUUCACCGUCAAAACAGCAAUGGUUUCGUAAUAUGCGUGAGCCUUUCGUAUGAGUUCGUGUGGGUCAGUGUGUGUCUCGUAAGUUAGGGACAAGUCCAUCAUUCCUUCACCGUCAAAACAGCAAUGCUUUCGUAAUAUGCGUGAGCCUUUUGUAUGAGUUCGUGUGGGUCAGUGUGUCUCGUGAAUUAGGGGCAAAUCCAUCAUUCCUUCACCGUGGAAACAGCAAUGGUUUCGUAAUAUGCGUGAGCCUUUCGUAUGAGUUCGUGUGGGUCAGUGUGUGUCUCGUAAGUUAGGGACAAAUCCAUCAUUCCUUCACCGUCAAAACAGCAAUGGUUUCGUAAUAUGCGUGAGCCUUUCGUAUGAGUUCGUGUGGGUCAGUGUGUGUCUCGUAAAUUAGGGACAAAUCCGUCAUUCCUUCACCGUCAAAACAGCAAUGCUUUCGUAAUAUGCGUGAGCCUUUCAUAUGAGUUCGUGUGGGUCAGUGUGUGUCUCGUAAGUUAGGGACAAGUCCGUCAUUCCCUUACCGUCAAAACAGAAAUGCAUUCGUAAUUUCGUAAUGCACAACUGCCUUCCUAAAACAUUCGUGUGUGUUAGUAUGUAUCUUGUAAAUUGAGUACAAGUUAUUUAUACCUUCACCGUCAAAACAGCAAUCCAUUCGUAAUUUUGCAAUCCGCUGGAACCUUCCGAAUGAGUGUGUGGGUCAAUUCGUGUCUCGUAAAUUAGGGGCAAGUUCGUCAUUCCUUUACGUCAUAACAGCAAUGCAUUCGUAAUUUCGUAACAUGCAUGAGCCUUUUCGUAUGAGUUCGUGUGGGUCAGUGUGUGUCUCAUAAAUUAGGGGCAAGUUCGUCAUUCCUUUACGUCAUAACUGCAAUGCAUUCGUAAUUUCGUAACAUGCGUGAGCCUUUUCGUAUGAGUUCGUGUGGGUCAGUGCGUGUGUCGUAAAUUAGGGGCAAGUUCGUCAUUCCCUCGCCAUUGAAAUAGCAACGCAUUCCUAAUUUCGUAACACACGAGAGCCUUUCGUAUGAGUGUGUGUGAGUGCGUGUGUAUCAUAAAAGAAGGCCAGUAAGUCACUUAGUCAGUCAAAACAGUUUAUGCGUCAGUCAGUCAGCGAGUCAAAAUGGUUUAAGCAACACAUCCGUAAUAUCGUAAAAUGUGAGAGGCUUUCGUAUGAGUGUGUGUGAGUGCGUCAGUCAUUACGUACGAGUCUCCAUGCAUGAUACGAGUUGUCUGUUGGAGGUACGGGACAGGGGUAGAGGGGGGGGAGGAGGAGGAGGAGGAGGCGUUACGCUUCAAAAUAACCACUACGCAAGUCCCCGAGUCUCCAUGCAUGCUACGAGUUGUCUGUGGGGGGUACGGGACAGGGAUGGAGGGGGAGGAGGCAUUACGCGUCAGAACAACCACUCCGCAAGUCCCCCCCUUCGUCGAGUCCACGGUACGUUUUCUAUGCAAGCCAAAUAUACCCGUAGUAGACGUAGUAUUUGCCGAUCCUAUAGUCAGCAUAGCGCCCGUCAUUAUCAGCUUGCGUAUCGACACUAAGGUUAUGAGACAGUUAAGAUAUCGCCUUGUUAUGUAAUACUGCAUUGACGUAAAGACUCAUAGCGUACGUAAUAGAGGGAAGCGUCGUUGGGGGUUAGUUACGAGCCAUAGUGAGUAGGCUAUACACAGAGAGAGAGAGAUUUUUAAUACGUAUAUACAUUAUUUUUUCAUACUGUUAAAAUUGGUUGCCAGUUUGUAAGGUUGAAAUUGAACGUAUUUGAAGAGUUACGGAGCGCAAAAUAAUAAGAAGAGGAAGAGGAAGAAGAAGGAGGAGGAGGAGGAGGAGGAGAGGAAAUGAUCAUGACAAUAGUAAUACAAGAAAAGGAGAAGAAAUGGAGGAAGAGGAAGGAAGAAGAUAAGGAAGGGAAGGGAGAGAGGAGAGGAAGAGAAGGGAAGAGGGAGGAAGGAAGGAGAGGAGGAGAACGGAAGAGGGAGAAGAUAAGCAAAGGAAGGGAGAGAGAGGAGAGGAAGGGAAAGGCAGAAGAAGGGAAGAGGGAGGAAGGAAGAUAAGGAGGAGGGAAGGGAGAGAGAGAGAGGAAGAGAAGGAAGGAAGGGAGAGAGAGAGAGAGGAAGAGGAAGGGAAAGAGGAGAGAAGGGAAGAGAUGAGAGAGAGGAAGGAAGGAAGGAAGGAAGAGAGAGAGUGAGGAAGAGGAAGGGAAAGAGGAGAGAAGGGAAGAGAUGAGAGAGAGGAAGGAAGGAAGGAAGGGAGAGAGAGAGAGAGAGUGAGGAAGAGGAAGGGAAAGAGGAGAGAAGGGAAGAGAUGAGAGAGAGGAAGGGAGAGGGAGAGAGAGUGAGGAAGAGGAAGGGAAAGAGGAGAGAAGAGAAGAGAUGAGAGAGAGGAAGGAAGGGAGGGAGAGGGAGAGAGAGAGAGGAAGAGGAAGGGAAAGAGGAGAGAAGGGAAGAGAUGAGAGAGAGGAAGGAAGGAAGGAAGGGAGAGAGAGAGAGAGGAAGAGGAAGGGAAGAGAUGAGAGAGAGGAAGGAAGGAAGGAAGGAAGGGAGAGGGAGAGAGAGUGAGGAAGAGGAAGGGAAAGAGGAGAGAGAGGAAGGAAGGAAGGAAGAGAGAGAGAGAGAGGAAGAGGAAGGAUGGGAGGAACAUGAAAAUCUGUAAAUUGUCUCUUUAAUAAUCUAAGGUUCACACACACACACACACACACACACACACACACAGACACACACACACAUGACUGUAUACACAUGGCAAACAUUCAUUAACUCCUAUGGCAGAUUUGGCUUUCAACUAACAUCUUUGGGAGAGAGAUUUAACCCUUCCGCUGCGAUUGUCACGGAUUUCUCCUUCCCUGGUAGCCUGGUAACAGAUAGGUAGGUUUUAUAAGAUACUUUGGCAUUUCACAUCAGCUGUUUCUAAAGGUCAAAGAAGGGGUCAGUUGGGUUCUAAUGUCUGUUUCUUGAGGGUCAUGGUACAGAGGAAAGGUCACACUACCACCAGGGUCACACAGCUACCCCUGGAAAUGCCCACAACUCCUAUGAAAGCCUUGUCAAAUGUGUGUUUCUUCAGGUUCACGGUACAGAGGAAGGGUCACACUACCACCAGGGUCAUAAAACUACCCCUGGAAAUGCCCACAACUCCUAUGAAAGCCUUGUCAAAUGUGUGUUUCUUCAGGUUCACGGUACAGAGGAAGGGUCACACUACCAUCAGGGUCAUAAAACUACCCCUGGAAAUGCCCACAACUCCUAUGAAAGCCUUGUCAAAUCUGUGUUUCUUUAGCUUCACGGUACAGAGGAAGGGUCACACAACUCCUGGAAAUGCCCACAACUCCUACGAAAGCCUUGUCAAAUGUGUGUUUCUUGAGGUUCACGGUACAGAGGAAGGGUCACACAACUCCUGGAAAUGCCCACAGCUCCUAAGAAAGCCUGGUCAAAGGUUCUUGUGUUACAUCGGGACUGGAAGUGUUACGAUCGUGGUUACGCAAUGAGAAACUAAAGGGCUUAUGACGUAAUGGGUAUGUGAACAGUUAUUUGUUCUUGUGUUGCAUAGAGUGUUACGAGGCUUGUGUUACUGUUUUUUUAUUGGUAAAGGAGAGAGAGAGAGAGAGAGAGAGAGAGAGCGAUAGCAUAAUAGUGUUACAUCAAAGUGUUACAUGAGUUCAUAGUGGCUUUGUGUUGCGUAGAAGUGUUACGAGUCUUGUGUUGCUGAUUUUUUUAUUGGUAAAGGAGAGAGAGAGAGAGUAUUCUUAGUGUUAUGUCAAAGUGUUACAUGAAUUUAUAUUGCUGAAAAAACUACCUUUGUGUUGCGUAUAGAGGUGUUACGAGUCUUGUGUUGCUGAUUUCUUAUUGGUAAAGGAAAGAGAGAGAGUAUUCUUAGUGUUAUGUCAAAGUGUUACAUGAAUUUAUAUUGCUGAAAAAACUCCCUUUGUGUUGCGUAUAGAAGUGUUACGAGUCUUGUGUUGCUGAUUUCUUAUUGGUAAAGGAGAGAGAGAGAGAGAGAGAGAAUUCUUAGUGUUACUUCAAAGUGUUACAUGAAUUUACAUUGCAGAAAACUGGCAUUGUGUUGCGUAUAGAAGUGUUACGAGUCUUGUGUUGAUGAUUUCUUUUUGUUUAUUGAGAGAGAGAGAGAGAGAGAGAGAGAAUUCUUAGUAUUACUUCAAAGUGUUACAUGAAUUUACAUUACAGAAAACUGGCAUUGUGUUGCGUAUAGAAGUGUUACGAGUCUUGUGUUGAUGAUUUCUUAUUGGUAAAGGAGAGAGAGAGAGAGAGAGAGAGAGAGAGAGAGAGAAUUCUUAGUGUUACUUCAAAGUGUUACAUGAAUUUACAUUGCAGAAAACUGGCGUUGUGUUGCGUAUAGAAGUGUUACGAAAUCUGUGUUGCCGUUAGGUUCGUGGACUGAAAAUGGGGUAGGAAAGAGAAGGAGCAUAUCAGUGUUACGUUAAGGUCAUACAAGUGUUUCAAAGGCCAAUACAAGCGUUGAGUGUGUUACAAGAUAUACCGGACCAAGAGUGGGUAUAUAGUGUUACGGGAAGUGUUGCAAGUGUUACUAAAAGCCGAUAGAAGUGUUGAAUGUGUUGCAAGAUAUACCGGACCAAGAGGAGCUAUGUAGUGUUACGGGAAGUGUUGCAAGUGUUACUAAGGCCCAUGGAAGUGCUGAAUGUGUUGCAGGAUAUACCGGACCAAGAGUAGCUAUGUAGUGUUACGGGAAAGUGUUGCAAGUCUUACCAAAGCCCAUGGAAGUGUUGAAUGUGUUGCAGGAUAUACCGGACCAGGAGUAGCUAUGUAGUGUUACGGGAAAGUGUUGCAAGUGUUACCAAAGCCCAUGGAAGUGUUGAAUGUGUUGCAGGAUAUACCGGACCAAGAGUGGCUAUGUAGUGUUACAGGAAAGUGUUGCAAGUCUUACCAAAGCCCAUAGAAGUGUUGAAUGUGUUGCAGGAUAUACCGAACCAAGAGUAGCUAUGUAGUGUUACGGGAAAGUGUUGCAAGUCUUACCAAAGCCCAUGGAAGUGUUGAAUGUGUUGCAGGAUAUACCGGACCAAGAGUAGCUAUGUAGUGUUACGGGAAAUGUUGCAAGUGUUACUAAAAGCCGAUAGAAGUGUUGAAUGUGUUGCAGGAUAUACCGGACCAAGAGUAGCUAUGUAGUGUUACGGGAAGUUGUUGCAAGUGUUACUAAAAGCCGAUAGAAGUGUUGAAUGUGUUGCAAGAUAUACCGGACCAAGAGGAGCUAUGUAGUGUUACAGGAAAGUGUUACAAGUCUUACCAAGGCCCAUGGAAGUGUUGAAUGUGUUGCAGGAUAUCCCGGACCAAGAGUAGCUAUGUAGUGUUACAGGAAAGUGUUGCAAGUCUUACCAAAGCCCAUGGAAGUGUUGAGUGUGUUGCAAGAUAUACCGGACCAGGAAUGACUAGGAGCGUUACGGGAAAGUGUUGCUGGAGCCCAUAGGAGUGUUGAAUGUUACGUAAAUUGACCUCACUCGACUGGCCAUUUUGUGUUACCGAGUGUUGCAUAAGGGACCAUUACGCUGUUGUGUUGCGCCCCGGUGUUCCGUCGUCACGUGCGGAGGCUAUGUGUUACGGCGAGUGUUUCGUAUACGCGCGUCACGCCCCACGAGUGUGUUACGAGACCUUACCUUAGUGUUGAUAGGUGUGUUGCCAUUAAGUUAAGCUAAAAAUAUGUUUGAUUUUAAUAUUUAGGAAAAGUUUUGGAUGAUGAGAUUUGUUUGUUAUCUUCCUCUGUCUCUCCUCCUCCUCCUCCUCUUCCUCCUCCCUUCCUCUUUCUCUUCCUUUCCUCUUCUUCCUCUGUCUCUCCUCCUCCUCCUCCUCUUCCUCCUCUUUCUCUUCCUUUCCUCUUCUUCCUCCCUUCCUCUGUCUCCUCCUCUUUCUCUUCCCCUUCCUUCUCCUCCUCCUCCUCCCUCCUGACAUCUACAAACAAUCCCUUCCUCUCUCUCCUCCUUCUUCCUCCUCCUUUUCCUUCCAGACAUCUGCUCCAAAAAAAAUCCCUUCCUCUCUCUCCCAUCAUUCUUUCUCUUCCCCUUCUUCCUCCUCCUCCUCCUCCUCCUCCUCCUCCUCCUGACAUCACCAAAAUAUCCUUCAACAGGAGUCACAAUUUAAUUUUCUUGUAUGAUUAUAUAUGAGAGAGAGAGAGAGAGAGAGAGAGAGAGAGUGUUGGCAAUGUAAUGUAGUCACUAGAAGGAAGGGAGGAGGAGGAAGAGGAAGGAAGGAAGGGGAAGAGGUAGAAAAUAUAGGGGAGGAGGAGGAGGAGAAAGAAGAGGGGAAGGAAGGGAGGAGGAAGACAAUAUAUGGGAGAGGAACAGAGAGGAGAGGAAGGAAGGAAGAGGAGGAGGAGGAAGAAGAGGAAGGAAAGGAAGAAGAAAUUAUAAACAGAGAGGAGGAGGAGGAGAAAGAAGGGGAAGAGGAAGAAAGGGAGAGAGGUCACAUGGGAAGGAGGAGAGGAAGGAAGGAAGAGGAGGAGGAGAAGGAGAAAGAAGGGGAGAGGAGAAGGAAAGGAAGAGGAAGAGUAGAAAAUAUAGGAGAGGAACAGAGAGGAAGGAAGGGAGGAGGAGGAGGAGGAGGAAAGGAAGAGGAAGAAAAUAUAUUGAAGAGGAGGAGGAGGAGAGGAAGGAAGGGAGGAGGAAUAGGAGGAGAAAGAAGAGAGGAAGGAAGAAAGGAGGAGGAGGAGAGGAAGGAAGGAAGGAGGAGGAAGAAAAUAUAUGGGAGAGAAGAGGAGGAGAGGAAGAGGAAGGAAGGGGAGGUCACUCGUAAAUAAUGUGAUCAACUUGUCGCUGGAUAUCUCAAAAAUCUCUCGGCCUGUUUACAAAUUACGUCAACACUUUUAAACCCAUCAGCUGCCUGUUACGACUCUCUCCCAACGCCUGAAACAAGACUGAAUUAACUCCUUUAUUUUCCUCUCUGUGUUAACCCAAUACACAUCACAAUACCUAAGGGCUUUGAAAAUAUAAUAAGUGUUUUUCUAAGUAACCUUCCAGUGUCCGGGAGUGAGCGUAAGGCGAUUCUCAUUAGCGUAAGAUUGGGAUUGUAAAAGAUGUGAUUGAGCUUGUGUAUAGAAUGUUUACUUGAUUGUUUUGACCUUUUCUCGGAUGACUGUACAUGCGUGUGACCUCAAAGCUGAUUCUCUUUACUGUAUAACACACACACACACACACACACACACACACACACACACACCAAAUUGGAGGAGCCCAGCUUACCAACACUAGAAGAAGCAGAGAGAGAGGAGACCUGAUUGCGUUGUACAGGAACACAAGCAGAAUGGACGUGGAUAGAAAUGAUUUGAGAUGGAAGGGAGGAGGCAGCUUAGAGGACACAGGUAGGAAUUGAGAACGGAACUGGUUUGAAUGACCUUAAGAAGUUCGGUUUUCCAUGCAGGAGUGAGACAUGGGGUGGAGGUAACUUAGACAUUGUUGAAGGGGAAUUGUACAUGGAGUGAAGGAAGCUGGAUAUAGAUUGGUCGAGAGGACUGACCCAGCUUGACCUCAGACCCUGCACACACACACACACACACACACAUACGAUCGGUGAAAUAUAACUGGAUGCAAAAAUUAUCUUGCAAUGCUUCAAGACUUUACUUAUGUGUGUGUGCAUGGCUGGGCACGAUAACAGAAAACCUUAUUCCCGAUAACCGAUAACCGAUAUUCGUUAACUGGAGACACAAAUAUAGGCGAUAACCGAUAACCGAUAACCGAUACCCGAUAUAAAUCUACAAUUCCGAUACUAGCUAGCGAUAAGUCCGAUAGGCGAAAACGAUACUAUAUUGAUAUUUCAAAUAAAAAAUAUAGAUGAAUUCAAAUUUUCAUUAUCUGUAUUUUAGAAAACUUACAAAACCUGAAAACCACA